GGACGAACGCUGGCGGCGUGCUUAACACAUGCAAGUCGAGCGGUAACGGCCCUUUCGGGGGUACACGAGCGGCGAACGGGUGAGUAACACGUGGGUGACCUGCCUUUAGCUCUGGGAUAAGCCUGGGAAACUGGGUCUAAUACCGGAUAUGACCCUAUGGCGCAUGUUGUGGGGUGGAAAGCCUUGUGCGGCUAGGGAUGGG
rnacentral:rRNA from 1 species